rnacentral:lncRNA from 1 species
AAAAGAUGCAGUAAUGGCUUUAGGGAGUAUUGCACUAUUAUAAAAUUCAUGAAGAAAGUCUAUAAUAUCACCUUUAAUAAUUUCCCAACAAGCCUUCAAGAAAGUGAAAUUGAAACUGUCUGGUCCUGGACAUUUGUUACCGUCACUACUCCAAAUCGUCUCUUUAACUUCUUCGCUUGAAAAAGGUGCCAUUAGAAGAAGAUUGUCUUCAUCGGAAAGAGUUUGAAACUAUAAACCAUUAAGAUUCGGUCGGUUUAGCCAUUUCUCUUGAAAAUAAUCCGCAUAAAAAUUCUUUACACAACCCUUCACCUCCUCCACUCCCUCAACCCAUUGAUCACCAUCUUUUAAGGCCAUCAAUUGGUUCUUCCUUCG